GCAUCUACACUUUCUGGUAUGUUUACAAUUGUUUUUGGGGAUAUUGGAAAUAACGGCAUUAGAGCAAGUGAUGUUACUGUCGAAACAGAGGAAAGUAGAGAAAUUACAGAAAACAGAGAUUAUACUCGAGAAAGUGAUGAGAAUCGUGAAGUAGAAGAUGACGAUGAGAUUGAGUCAUUAAAUGAAGAACAUGAUUCUGAGGAUGAACAAGAACAACAUCAAGUAGUACAAGAGCUAAGGAGAUCGCAAAGACAAGUUAAAGCCCC
rnacentral:lncRNA from 1 species